rnacentral:rRNA from 1 species
UACGUAGAAGACUAGUGUUAUUCAUCUUUAAUAGGUUUAAAGGGUACCUAGACGGUAUAAUUAGUCUUUAACAGGAAACAGUUAUACUAGAGUUAUAUAUGAGGAGGUGAGUAUUUGUGGAGUAGAGUUGAAAUUCUUUGAUACCAUGAAGACUGGUAAAGGCGAAAGCAACCUUUUAUCUAAUAACUGACGUUGAGGGACGAAGGCUCGGGUCGCGAACAGG